rnacentral:rRNA from 1 species
AGGAUUAACGCUGGCGGCGUGCCUAACACAUGCAAGUCGAGCGGCAGCGAGUUUUUACACUGAAUUCUGGAAGCUUCUAGUUGAAAGAGAAGAUUUAUUCAAGAAUUUGUGUAAAAUGUCGGCGAGCGGCGGACGGCUGAGUAACGCGUGGGAACGUACCCCAAAGUGAGGGAUAACGCAUCGAAAGGUGUGCUAAUACCGCAUAUGGUCUUCGGAUUAAAGCCUUCGGGCGCUUUGGGAACGGCCUGCGUAAGAUUAGAUAGUUGGUGGGGUAAUGGCCUACCAAGUCGACGAUCUUUAACUGGUUUGAGAGGAUGAUCAGUCAGACUGGAACUGAGACACGGUCCAGACUCCUACGGGAGGCAGCAGUGAGGAAUCUUCCACAAUGGGCGAAAGCCUGAUGGAGCAACGCCGCGUGCAGGAUGAAGGCCUUCGGGUUGUAAACUGCUUUUAUAAGUGAUGAUUAUGACAGUAACUUAUGAAUAAGGAUCGGCUAACUACGUGCCAGCAGCCGCGGUCAUACGUAGGAUCCGAGCGUUAUCCGGAGUGACUGGGCGUAAAGAGUUGCGUAGGUGGUUUAAUAAGCGAAUAGUGAAGUCUGGUGGCUCAACCAUUCAGACUAUUAUUCGAACUGUUGAACUCGAGAGCAGAAGAGGUAGCUGGAAUUUCUAGUGUAGGAGUGAAAUCCGUAGAUAUUAGAAGGAACACCGAUGGCGUAGGCAGGCUACUGGGCUGUUUCUGACACUGAGGCACGAAAGCAUGGGGAGCGAACCGGAUUAGAUACCCGGGUAGUCCACGCCGUAAACGAUGGAUACUAGCUGUUUGGGGUAUCGACCCCCUGAGUAGCGAAGCUAACGCGUUAAGUAUCCCGCCUGUGGAGUACGAUCGCAAGAUUAAAACAUAAAGGAAUUGACGGGGACCCGCACAAGCGGUGGAUCAUGUUCUUUAAUUCGAUGAUAACCGAUAAACCUUACCAGGUCUUGACAUCCUUGGAAUCUUUCAGAAAUGAGAGAGUGCUUUUUAAGAGCCAAGUGACAGGUGAUGCAUGGCCGUCGUCAGCUCGUGUCGUGAGAUGUUUGGUUAAGUCCAUCAACGAGCGCAACCCUUGUCAGUAGUUGUAUUUUUCUACUGAGACUGCCCCGGUAACGGGGAGGAAGGAGGGGAUGACGUCAGGUCAGUAUUUCCCUUACGUCCUGGGCUAGAAACGUGAUACAAUGGCUAGUACAAUGCGCAGCGAAGCCGCGAGGUGAAGCAAAUCGCAUCAAAGCUAGUCCCAGUUCGGAUUGUAGGCUGAAACUCGCCUGCAUGAAGUCGGAAUCGCUAGUAAUCGCAGAUCAGCAUGCUGCGGUGAAUACGUUCCCGGGUCUUGUACACACCGCCCGUC